GAUCCCAUCAAUGAGCCAUGUACACUAACAUGUUGGACGAGUCAACAGGCGGACGGAGGAAACACUUCUCGCUGCACGUUCCCUCAUUCCACCAAGUUGACAACAGGAACAUCUGUUCAAGAGCUUUUCAUCCCGCUCGAGGCCACGCCCCCGGCGAAGAGAGCGCAACGUGAUUGGUUGUUCACUCUUCUUCUUCGUCGAGCACCUUCUGCUCCUGAGGUUUCCCUCCGUCCUGCGACACGGCAGAUAUUAAGACGUGGCGGAGAAGCGACAGAACCGCGACCGAAUGAAACGCUGCAUUCUAAAGCUUUCAAAGUGUCAAAACACAGAAAACAUGUGAGACGUCACGUCGUCGUCGCCCGCCAUCUUCUGAAUCCCAGGACACGUGAGAACACGCACGCGUGGACCAAUGGACGAGCUCCUUCUCCUCUGGCUGUUGGCGCCAAACCCUCUGCUGCAGUGGUGACGUCAACCUGCCACUUCCGGCUACGAGCAGAUUCUCUCUGCGGUCUGCGGCACGAACCUGUUGCUGCCUCCGCUCUUCUCCCUCCUCAGCACCACCCCCCGUCCUGCACACAGGCCCCGCCCCUCUCCUGCGCACCGGGCCCCGCCCCUCUCCUGCGCACCGGGCCCCGCCCCGCCUCUCAUCAAACACACCCCGAGCUGAGAAUAUGAAAUUCAUAAUCACAGUUUGUAAAGUCUUUAGCCAACAGGCCUCAUGUUUACAUUAUUAAAUGUAGGCAGCAGAUGACUUACAACAUAAUGAAGAGCAAGUCGAUAUUAUGAUUAUAUAAACCCAGGACUUAAAACCACACACCAGUAAUUUAAAUUGUAUUUCUAUUAUUUUUAUUGUCAGUGUUAAUUUUCAGAAUUAUUUGGACUAAAAGAGAAAUUUCUCUCCGUUUCAACUAUUUUUAAUAAAACAAGACAGAUAUGAAUUUUUGGGGAGUUCAAGAUUUCGAAUACAUCAACCAAUAUAUUUAUAUCUAUAUAUGUAUAGAUAUAAAUAUAUCUAUCUAUCUAUAUAUAUAUAUAUAUUUGUA
rnacentral:lncRNA from 1 species